rnacentral:piRNA from 1 species
UACAAUGUUGAAAAUGUUUUUGAAAAGGAGA